rnacentral:rRNA from 1 species
CACGUAGGGCGCAAGCGUUGUCCGGAAUUAUUGGGCGUAAAGAGCUCGUAGGCGGUCUGUUAAGUCGAACGUGAAAUCCCUGGGCUCAACCCAGGAACUGCGUCCGAUACUGGCAGGCUUGAAUCCGGGAGAGGGAUGCGGAAUUCCAGGUGUAGCGGUGAAAUGCGUAGAUAUCUGGAGGAACACCGGUGGCGAAGGCGGCUCACUGGUCCGGUACUGACGCUGAUGUGCGAAAGCGUGGGGAGCAAACAGG